rnacentral:rRNA from 1 species
UACGUAGGGUGCGAGCGUUGUCCGGAAUUACUGGGCGUAAAGGGCUCGUAGGUGGCCAACUAAGUCAGACGUGAAAUCCCUCAGCUUAACUGGGGAACUGCGUCUGAUACUGGAUGGCUUGAGUUUGGGAGAGGGAUGCGGAAUUCCCAGUGUAGCGGUGAAAUGCGUAGAUAUUGGGAGGAACACCAGUGGCGAAGGCGGCUCACUGGACCGGAACUGACGCUGAGGCGCGAAAGCGUGGGGAGCAAACAGG